rnacentral:rRNA from 1 species
AGCACUGAAUGGGCUAGGGCAUAUACCAAUGUACCAAACCCUAUCAAACUCCGAAUACCUUAUAUGUAAUCACAGCAGUCAGGCGGCGAGUGAUAAAAUCCGUCGUCAAGAGGGAAACAACCCAGACUACCAGCUAAGGUCCCUAAAUCUUACUUAAGUGGAAAACGAUGUGAAGUUACUUAAACAACCAGGAGGUUGGCUUAGAAGCAGCCAUCCUUUAAAGAAAGCGUAAUAGCUCACUGGUCUAGUGAUUUUGCGCGGAAAAUAUAACGGGGCUAAAGUAAGUACCGAAGCUGUAGACUUAGUUUACUAAGUGGUAGGAGAGCGUUCUAUUUGCGUCGAAGGUAUACCGGUAAGGAGUGCUGGAGCGAAUAGAAGUGAGCAUGCAGGCAUGAGUAGCGAUAAUUAAUGUGAGAAUCAUUAACGCCGUAAACCCAAGGUUUCCUACGCGAUGCUCGUCAUCGUAGGGUUAGUCGGGUCCUAAGUCGAGUCCGAAAGGGGUAGACGAUGGCAAAUUGGUUAAUAUUCCAAUACCAACAUUAGUGUGCGAUGGAAGGACGCUUAGGGCUAAGGGGGCUAGCGGAUGGAAGUGCUAGUCUAAGGUCGUAGGAGGUUGUACAGGCAAAUCCGUAUAACAAUACUUCGAGAACUGAAAGGCUUUUUGAAGUCUUCGGAUGGAUAGAAGAACCCCUGAUGCCGUCGAGCCAAGAAAAGUUUCUAAGUUUAGCUAAUGUUGCCCGUACCGUAAACCGACACAGGUGGGUGGGAUGAGUAUUCUAAGGCGCGUGGAAGAACUCUCUUUAAGGAACUCUGCAAAAUAGCACCGUAUCUUCGGUAUAAGGUGUGGUUAGCUUUGUAUUAGGAUUUACUCCGAAAGCAAGGAAACUUACAACAAAGAGUCCCUCCCGACUGUUUACCAAAAACACAGCACUCUGCUAACUCGUAAGAGGAUGUAUAGGGUGUGACGCCUGCCCGGUGCUCGAAGGUUAAUUGAUGGGGUUAGCAUUAGCGAAGCUCUUGAUCGAAGCCCGAGUAAACGGCGGCCGUAACUAUAACGGUCCUAAGGUAGCGAAAUUCCUUGUCGGUUAAAUACCGACCUGCAUGAAUGGCGUAACGAGAUGGGAGCUGUCUCAAAGAGGGAUCCAGUGAAAUUGUAGUGGAGGUGAAAAUUCCUCCUACCCGCGGCAAGACGGAAAGACCCCGUGGACCUUUACUACAGCUUGACACUGCUACUUGGAUAAGAAUGUGCAGGAUAGGUGGGAGGCUUUGAGUAUAUGACGCCAGUUGUAUAUGAGCCAUUGUUGAGAUACCACUCUUUCUUAUUUGGGUAGCUAACCAGCUUGAGUUAUCCUCAAGUGGGACAAUGUCUGGUGGGUAGUUUGACUGGGGCGGUCGCCUCCCAAAUAAUAACGGAGGCUUACAAAGGUUGGCUCAGAACGGUUGGAAAUCGUUCGUAGAGUAUAAAGGUAUAAGCCAGCUUAACUGCAAGACAUACAAGUCAAGCAGAGACGAAAGUCGGUCUUAGUGAUCCGGUGGUUCUGUGUGGAAGGGCCAUCGCUCAAAGGAUAAAAGGUACCCCGGGGAUAACAGGCUGAUCUCCCCCAAGAGCUCACAUCGACGGGGAGGUUUGGCACCUCGAUGUCGGCUCAUCGCAUCCUGGGGCUGGAGCAGGUCCCAAGGGUAUGGCUGUUCGCCAUUUAAAGCGGUACGCGAGCUGGGUUCAGAACGUCGUGAGACAGUUCGGUCCCUAUCUGCCGUGGGCGUAAGAAGAUUGAAGAGAUUUGACCCUAGUACGAGAGGACCGGGUUGAACAAACCACUGGUGUAGCUGUUGUUCUGCCAAGAGCAUCGCAGCGUAGCUAAGUUUGGAAAGGAUAAACGCUGAAAGCAUCUAAGCGUGAAGCCAACUCUAAGAUGAAUCUUCUCUAAGCUCUCUAGAAGACUACUAGUUUGAUAGGCUGGGUGUGUAAUGGAUGAAAGUCCUUUAGCUGACCAGUACUAAUAGAGCGUUUGGCUUAUCUUUAAUAAAGCAU